UACGUAGGCAGCAAGCGUUGUUCGGAGUUACUGGGCGUAAAGGGUGCGUAGGCGGCUUUUUAAGUUUGGUGUGAAAUCUCCCGGCUCAACUGGGAGGGUGCGCCGAAUACUGAGAGGCUAGAGUGCGGGAGAGGAAAGUGGAAUUCCUGGUGUAGCGGUGAAAUGCGUAGAUAUCGUAAGGAAGACCAGUGGCGAAGGCGGGUCUCUGGACAGUUCCUGACGCUGAGGCACGAAGGCCCAGGGGGAGCAAAACGGG
rnacentral:rRNA from 1 species